GAUGAACGCUGGCGGCGUGCCUAAUACAUGCAAGUCGAGCGAACAGAUGAGAAGCUUGCUUCUCUGAUGUUAGCGGCGGACGGGUGAGUAACACGUGGGUAACCUACCUAUAAGACUGGGAUAACUCCGGGAAACCGGGGCUAAUACCGGAUAAUAUUUUGAACCGCAUGGUUCGAUAGUGAAAGACGGUUUCGGCUGUCACUUAUAGAUGGACCCGCGCCGUAUUAGCUAGUUGGUAAGGUAACGGCUUACCAAGGCGACGAUACGUAGCCGACCUGAGAGGGUGAUCGGCCACACUGGAACUGAGACACGGUCCAGACUCCUACGGGAGGCAGCAGUAGGGAAUCUUCCGCAGUGGGCGAAAGCCUGACGGAGCAACGCCGCGUGAGUGAUGAAGGUCUUCGGAUCGUAAAACAUCUGUUGUUAGGGAAGAACAAAUUUGUUAGUAACUGAACAAGUCUGACGGUA
rnacentral:rRNA from 1 species